GAAUUGUCUCAUUAAAAACCUGCCAUACACAAUGAUUAGGCCAGAAUCAGUCAACUUGUCAUCUUGAGAUUCCACUGCAUUUAGAAUCAAUUUCAAUGCAAUUAGUGGAUAAAGCCAAGUCAGCACCUUUCUUAGCCUAAAUGCUUCAGCACCCGGAGGAAGCUUAUAACCCAAAGAAACACCUGAAAUAUCUGCUACAAAAGCACCAUGAUCAUCUCCCACAACCGCCCCAUAUGACACUUUACCCUCCUCCCUUGAGUAGCUGCAUCUAUAUUACAUUUUGUCCUCGCAUUCCGUGGCUUUGUCCACGCUAACAGACUUCGAGCAACACUUUCCCUGUGCGUCGGUUGCAUGGUAUUCUCCUUCACAGAUUUCCAUUCAUUCAAGAAGUUGAGAGCCGAAGAGAUGAUUCCAUGAGGGGUUCGGCCCUGUCCUUGCUACAACAGACGAUUCCUAUCGUUCCACAGGUUCCACAGCACAGCCAACCUU
rnacentral:misc_RNA from 1 species